UUUGCGCGUUCUACUUGGUCAGCCAUCCAAAUAGCGUCAAAUUUGUAUCCACCCACAAGUGUUGCCAAUAUUUUUGGUCAUUGGCUGGACGGUAUUUCAAAUGCAUACAAAACGCUAAUAAGGGUGGGAGCGUAUGCCUUAUUAUGGUCGCUUUGGCUAUGUAGAAAUAAUGUUAUUUUUAAUGACAAAACUAUUUCUCCUUUGCAGGUUAUUUUUCGUUGUACGCACUCGCUUCGUACGUGGUGUACGCUACAACGAGCGGAGUACCAACCGCUAUUCAAGGCGGUGUGUACGCUGUUGGAGCAGGUGGCUACGGAGGUUUUUACCCAACAUGGAUAG
rnacentral:rRNA from 1 species